GACAGAGGUGGCAAGCGUUGUUCGGAAUUACUGGGCUUAAAGGGCGCGUAGGUGGUGAAGUAAGUCCGGGGUGGAAGGCUGAGGCUUAACCUUGGAAUUGCCCUGGAAACUACUUUACUUGAGUCAGCGAGGGGAUGGCGGAAUUCCCGGUGUAGCGGUGAAAUGCGUAGAUAUCGGGAGGAAGGCCGGUGGCGAAGGCGGCCAUCUGGCGCUGAACUGACACUGAGGCGCGAAAGCGUGGGGAGCAAAC
rnacentral:rRNA from 1 species